AAGAAAAUGGUUCAGUGGAAAGAGUGUUGGAUUUAGAAUCAGAGGACCUGGGUUCAAAUCCUAGUUCUAUCA
rnacentral:tRNA from 1 species